UACGAAGGGGGCUAGCGUUGCUCGGAAUCACUGGGCGUAAAGGGUGCGUAGGCGGGUCUUUAAGUCAGGGGUGAAAUCCUGGAGCUCAACUCCAGAACUGCCUUUGAUACUGAAGAUCUUGAGUCCGGGAGAGGUGAGUGGAACUGCGAGUGUAGAGGUGAAAUUCGUAGAUAUUCGCAAGAACACCAGUGGCGAAGGCGGCUCACUGGCCCGGUACUGACGCUGAGGCACGGAAGCGUGGGGAGCAAACAGG
rnacentral:rRNA from 1 species